UACGUAGGGUGCAAGCGUUAAUCGGAAUUACUGGGCGUAAAGGGCGCGUAGGCGGCGAACCAAGUCAGAUGUGAAAGUCCUGGGCUUAACCUGGGGACUGCAUUUGAUACUGGUUUGCUUGAAUUCGGGAGAGGAUAGCGGAAUUCCCAGUGUAGAGGUGAAAUUCGUAGAUAUUGGGAAGAACACCGGUGGCGAAGGCGGCGCUCUGGACCGAGACUGACGCUGAGGCGCGAAAGCGUGGGGAGCAAACAGG
rnacentral:rRNA from 1 species